rnacentral:rRNA from 1 species
GAACGAACGUUAGCGGCGCGCUUAACACAUGCAAGUCGAGCGAGAAAGGGAGCAAUCCCCGGUACAGCGGCGCACGGGUGAGUAACACGUAGGUAAUCUGCCUUCGAGUGGGGGAUAACCUUCCGAAAGGAGGGCUAAUACCGCAUAAGACCACGACUCCGAGAGGGGAUGAGGUCAAAGCCGGCCACUAUACAUAAGCUGGCGCUUGGAGAUGAGCCUGCGGCCCANCAGCUAGUUGGUAGGGUAAUGGCCUACCAAGGCUAAGACGGGUAGCUGGUCUGAGAGGAUGAUCAGCCACAC